rnacentral:tRNA from 1 species
AUGCAUUUAGUUUAAAAAUUGUAGAAUGAAAGUUUGUCGUACUUUAGGAGAUUAGUAUUUUAAUCAGUGUAUA